UACGUAGGGGGCGAGCGUUGUCCGGAUUCAUUGGGCGUAAAGAGCUCGUAGGCGGUUCGGUAAGUCGGGUGUGAAACCUCCAGGCUCAACCUGGAGACGCCACCCGAUACUGCUGUGACUAGAGUCCGGUAGGGGAGCGUGGAAUUCCUGGUGUAGCGGUGAAAUGCGCAGAUAUCGGGAAGAACACCCGUGGCGAAGGCGGCACUCUGGGACGGUACUGACGCUGAGACGCGAAAGCGUGGGGAGCGAGCAGG
rnacentral:rRNA from 1 species